rnacentral:rRNA from 1 species
CCUACGGGCGGCAGCAGUAGGGAAUCUUCCACAAUGGGCGAAAGCCUGAUGGAGCAAUGCCGCGUGAGUGAUGAAGGUUUUCGGAUCGUAAAGCUCUGUUGCCAGGGAAGAACGUCCAGUAGAGUAACUGCUACUGGAGUGACGGUACCUGAGAAGAAAGCCCCGGCUAACUACGUGCCAGCAGCCGCGGUAAUACGUAGGGGGCAAGCGUUGUCCGGAAUUAUUGGGCGUAAAGCGCGUGCAGGCGGCUUGUUAAGUUGGGUGUUUAAGACCGGGGCUCAACCCCGGCUCGCACCCAAAACUGGGAAGCUUGAGUGUAGGAGAGGAAAGUGGAAUUCCACGUGUAGCGGUGAAAUGCGUAGAGAUGUGGAGGAACACCAGUGGCGAAGGCGACUUUCUGGCCUAUAACUGACGCUGAGGCGCGAAAGCGU